rnacentral:rRNA from 1 species
UAUGUAGGGGGCUAGCGUUAUCCGGAAUUACUGGGCGUAAAGGGUGCGUAGGUGGUUUCUUAAGUCAGAGGUGAAAGGCUACGGCUCAACCGUAGUAAGCCUUUGAAACUGGGAAACUUGAGUGCAGGAGAGGAGAGUGGAAUUCGUAGUGUAGCGGUGAAAUGCGUAGAUAUUAGGAGGAACACCAGUUGCGAAGGCGGCUCUCUGGACUGUAACUGACACUGAGGCACGAAAGCGUGGGGAGCAAACAGGAUUAGAUACCCGCGUAGUCCCUGA